CCGGAAGUUUCGCCCUCUCGUGGACAUAGUGGUAGACACUGUAAACAAGGAAAGAGAAAGUUCUUACGGUGCAUCGAUUUUCUCAGUUGUCAAUGAAUACAUUCAGUUUCUAUGGAAAGCGGGGCAUAAACAAAUUUGAAGAGAAAAGAGAUCGAGGAUGUGUUAACUUGGAUGAUUUCAGUUGUGUCUAAGAAGCAUUGAGGCAGAAUUAAGCACGGAUGUGACCUACAUUUAAAGAAAUCUGAAAGGGGACUACUAAAGGAACAUUCCUGUGAAGGUUGGUUGAAACUGACUUAGCAGUUUAAGAGAAUUGACUUCCUUUGAAGAAAUUGUAUCCAUGGAUCCUAAAAGCACACGGUAAGUACUUUGUGUUCAGGGCAGUUAAAAAUUCAAAGAUUAAGGAUGUGAAAGUAUACUGUCCAUUAACUGACAUAUGAUAAUGCCCUUUACCAGUAUUAGGAGUGGCUUGUCUGUUUAAAUGCUCUUAUCUGUAGGUUAUCUGUAGUUCUCAUUGA